UACGAAGGGGGCUAGCGUUGCUCGGAAUGACUGGGCGUAAAGGGCGCGUAGGCGGAGUGCUUUGUCGGGCGUGAAAUUCCAGGGCUCAACCUUGGGGCUGCGUUCGAGACGGGCAUUCUAGAGUGGAGAAGAGGGUCGUGGAAUUCCCAGUGUAGAGGUGAAAUUCGUAGAUAUUGGGAAGAACACCGGUGGCGAAGGCGGCGACCCGGUCUUUUACUGACGCUGAGGCGCGAAAGCGUGGGGAGCAAACAGG
rnacentral:rRNA from 1 species